CCUACGGGUGGCAGCAGUGGGGAAUAUUGGGCAAUGGGCGCAAGCCUGACCCAGCAACGCCGCGUGAAGGAAGAAGGCUCUCGGGUUGUAAACUUCUUUUCUGAGGGACGAAGAAAGCGACGGUACCUCAGGAAUAAGCCACGGCUAACUACGUGCCCGCAGCCGCGGUAAUACGUAGGUGGCAAGCGUUCUCCGGAUUUAUUGGGUGUAAAGGGCGUGUAGGCGGGAAAGCAAGUCAGAUGUGAAAACUCAGGGCCCAAACCUGAGCCUGCAGUUGAAACUGGUUUUCUUGAGUGCUGGAGAGGCAAGCGGAAUUCCGUGUGUAGCGGUGAAAUGAGUAGAUAUACGGAGGAACACCAGUGGCGAAGGCGGAUUGCUGGACAGUAACUGACGCUGAGGCGCGAAAGCGUGGGGAGCAAACAGGAUUAGAUACCCGGGUAGUC
rnacentral:rRNA from 1 species